GUCCCCCUCCCCUAGCAUCCCACCCCGCCCACCAACGUCAACCCCCAAGCGUUCUCUUUCGUACAGCUUCGUCGCACAAGCCGUGGUGUUGCUUUCGUCUUCCGAACGGCGCUGUUUGGGGCUGCCAACAUUGGCCUAUUCUGACCGAAGGGUUUUUAUUUUUCUCCCCAUUCCGUUUCCAUUUCCCACCAUCCCGUAUAUUUUGUGUUUUUGUGUUUCUUGAAUCUGUGGCUUUUUGUUUGUUGGUCUUUGUUAUUUUUUUUCUUUAAUUGGUUGCCCAUUUUGGGUGAGAUUCAUGCUUUCUUCAACAAUGAGGAAUGAAGAAAAAGAAGUUAUUGAACAAGUUGAACCCGGUGUUUAUGUUACAGUCAUUCUACUUCCAGAUGGUACGCGAGUGAGAUUCAAGUACUUAAGUAAAUACUUGACCCAACUAAAAAUAUCAAUAAUUCACUUUUUGUACAAUGUGAUCUCCCACAUGCCUUGCUCAUUUUCUCGUAUAUCUAUGCAUUUAUAUUCUCAAGUGCUUCAUUACUUGCAUUUUAAUUUUUAGCCCAUCACAGUAUGUAUGUAGGUGUGCCUCCACCAUGUAAGCUACAAACCCAAACUACAAAUUAUCUUCAACAUUUUUUUACUGCAUAUGGACGUGUUUGGCAUGUAUUAUGUUUCUGUCUAAACUUGUAUAUAUGUCUGAUAAAACAAGAAAAACAGAGGAAGAAGAAAUGCACUCUAGGUGCUCUACACAAAGUCUGAGAGCAAAACAGAUUCUCAACCUUCUCUUUUGUAUUUCGUUUCCAUUCCGUCAUACAACAGUUUUCACAGUGCAUAUAUACAUAUUCAAUUAAGGACAAAUCAGAUUACAUGCAUUGAUCCUACAGCUCACAUUGACUUAGUUAGUUUUAGUUAUACAAGAAUAUUCUGGAGUCUUGACAGAUGGCAUGCUGCGAGUCGUGCUUGCAGAGGGUUCUUCUAGAAGAUUCAAGCUUCAACAUGCAAAGAUACUAGAAGUUCAAAGACCUGCUUUCCAACAAGAGGAUUGAUGCUCACUUAAUAAUGCAUAUUUUGAUGGAACUAUGUCACUGCAGCUGACAAAUUGGAAGUUGAAGAAUUUUGAGAAUUUUGAAUUUGUAGCGUAAUCUGUUUGGCAUUGGGUUAUAUUCGAAGUUGGUAUUUUGAAGUUUGUAGUGGUUUGAGAAUUAUUGUUUCCAACCUUGGUGUAAUUCUCUUGAUUUUAAGAAUAGAAGGAUGUGAAUGUGUAGGCGAAUUAUGGGUUACAGAUGAGUUGGAGAAUUAUUUUCCAGUUGGUGAAUGUAGUUUUUAUUGUUAGAGUUGUUGGAUGUAAUUUUUCUUGUGCACGUUUUGGGGUACUUCUACAGAUUUGAUGAAUGUAAUUUUUCUUGUAAUGUAUUGCUUAUGCUAGGUGCUGAAAGUGAUUGAAUACAUUCUAUUUUACCUCUCCCACCA